rnacentral:rRNA from 1 species
UGAGCAACCUGCCCUUGGCUUGGACUAACCGACGGGAACGGGGCUACGGUAACCGAAUCGUUCACUG